GACGAACGCUGGCGGCGUGCUUAACACAUGCAAGUCGAACGGAAAGGCCCUGCUUUUGUGGGGUGCUCGAGUGGCGAACGGGUGAGUAACACGUGAGUAACCUGCCCUUGACUUUGGGAUAACUUCAGGAAACUGGGGCUAAUACCGGAUAGGAGCUCCUGCUGCAUGGUGGGGGUUGGAAAGUUUCGGCGGUUGGGGAUGGACUCGCGGCUUAUCAGCUUGUUGGUGGGGUAGUGGCUUACCAAGGCUUUGACGGGUAGCCGGCCUGAGAGGGUGACCGGCCACAUUGGGACUGAGAUACGGCCCAGACUCCUACGGGAGGCAGCAGUGGGGAAUAGUGCACAAUGGGCGGAAGCCUAAUGCAGCAACGCCGCGUGCGGGAUGACGGCCUUCGGGUUGUAAACCGCUUUCGCCUGUGACGAAGCGUGAGUGACGGUAAUGGGUAAAGAAGCACCGGCUAACUACGUG
rnacentral:rRNA from 1 species